CCUACGGGAGGCUGCAGUGGGGAAUCUUGCGCAAUGGGCGAAAGCCUGACGCAGCGACGCCGCGUGAGGGAAGAAGGUCUUCGGAUCGUAAAACUCUGUCAGCAGGGAAGAACGGUCACUGUGCUAAUCAGCAGUGCAUUGACGGUACCUGCACAGAAAGCACCGGCUAACUCCGUGCCAGCAGCCGCGGUAAUACGGAGGGUGCGAGCGUUAAUCGGAAUUACUGGGCGUAAAGCGCUCGUAGGCGGUAUGUCAAGUCAAGGGUGAAAUCCCCGCGCUCAACGUGGGAACUGCCUGUGAAACUGGCAAACUGGAGUGUGUGAGAGGAUAGUGGAAUUCCAGGUGUAGGGGUGAAAUCCGGAGAUAUCGGGAGGAACAUCAGGGGCGAAGGCGACUAUCUGGCACAUAACUGACGCUGAGGAGCGAAAGCGUGGGUAGCAAACAGGAUUAGAUACCCGAGUAGUC
rnacentral:rRNA from 1 species